rnacentral:rRNA from 1 species
UACGUAGGGGGCAAGCGUUGUCCGGAAUUAUUGGGCGUAAAGCGCGUGUAGGCGGCCAGAUAAGUCCGCUGUGAAAUCUCGAGGCUCAACUUCGAGCUGUCGGUGGAAACUGUCUUGCUAGAGUCCGGAAGAUGAGAAUGGAAUUCCUGGUGUAGCGGUGAAAUGCGCAGAUAUCAGGAAGAACACCCGUGGCGAAGGCGGUUCUCUGGGACGGUACUGACGCUGAGACGCGAAAGCGUGGGGAGCGAACAGG